AAUAGUUUCACAGGGAACAUACCUCUCUCAAUCUGCAACCGAAGCUCUCUCGUCGUCCUUGAUCUAUCCUACAACAACUUCACCGGUCCAAUUCCUCAAUGUCUAAGUAACUUAAAAGUAGUGAAUCUGAGGAAGAACAGCUUGGAAGGAAGUAUACCUGACAAGUUCUAUAGAGGUGCUUUGACACAGACGCUUGACGUUGGUUACAAUCGACUAACCGGGAAGAUUCCAAAAUCACUUUUAAAUUGCUCCUUUCUGAAGUUUCUGAGUGUUGACAACAACAGAAUUGAAGACACGUUUCCUUUCUGGCUGAAGGCGCUACCCAAUUUGCAUGUCUUUACUCUCCGUUCAAACAGAUUCUUCGGCCAUCUCUCUCCUCCUGAUCGAGGUCCUCUCGCAUUUCCUGAGCUGCGGAUACUUGAAUUGUCGGAUAACAGCUUUACCGGAAGCUUGCCACCAAGUUUCUUUGUUAACUGGAAAGCAUCAUCAGUCAAGAUAAAUGAAGAUGGGCGUAUGUAUAUGGGAGACUACAAAAAUGCUUAUUAUAUCUAUGAAGACACUUUGGAUUUGCAAUACAAAGGUCUAUUCAUGGAGCAGGGGAAAGUCCUUACUUCCUACAGCACCAUUGAUUUCUCUGGAAACAAACUUGAAGGACAGAUUCCUGAGUCCAUUGGUCUGUUGAAGGAAUUGAUUGCGCUCAACUUAUCAAACAACGCCUUUACUGGCCAUAUUCCUAUGUCUUUGGCAAAUGUUACGGAGCUUGAGUCACUAGACCUGUCAAGAAACCAACUAUCAGGGAAUAUUCCUAGAGAACUCGGAAGCCUUUCGUUUUUGGCGUAUGUAAGUGUGGCUCAUAAUCAACUCAAAGGUGAAAUACCACAAGGACCACAGUUUAGUGGGCAAGCUGAAUCAUCAUUUGAAGGGAAUGUAGGUCUAUGUGGUCUUCCUCUCCAGGGAAAUUGCUUUGCGCCACCAACACUCUAUUCAAAGGAAGAAGACGAAGAAGAAGAAGAGGACGAAGUGUUAAACUGGAAAGCAGUGGUUAUCGGGUAUUGGCCUGGACUGUUACUUGGAUUGGUAAUGGCACACGUCAUUGCUUCAUUCAAGCCGAAGUGGUAUGUCAAGAUAGUUGGUCCAGAUAAGGGCAAGCAAGUAGAUCCAGUUAGAUUGUUUAUGACUCUGGAUUCAAGAUGGGACAGUUUUAAUAAUAAGGAUAAUGUAGAAGAAGAAAGUGAUACGAAAAUAUAGAAUGUGGAUAUGUUGUUACCUGAUGUAAGAAAGAAGUUGACUAGUUUCUGUAACUUUUGGUUCCCUAAAUUAAGAUCUCUCUUUUGGCUGAUAAUAUCCUGAUGUAUCUCUUGGUAGAUUGUUGAGGUAGAGGCUUAUGACAUAAGGCAUUGGUUCUUCUCUGAUUCUUGAAUUAACCCGAGCCGAUGUUUCUUAAUGCACGAAAACCGUUGUUUCAGCUUCCUAUUAAGACAAACUGGAUGAAAUGAACAUAAGACAGUCCGAGCCUGUAAGAUCAUACAAGUCUCAAGAAUUCAAUCUCAGAACAGACAUUCACGAGAAUCUCUUUUUUAAAAUGUAAAUGCUACCACUCACAAUUGAUACAAAUCAGUUUAUAUCAUGAGAGGACUUACCAAAUAUAACAAUCUUGUUACACUUUGAACUAACAUUCUCAGAUAACAGAGUAUGCACAACAUAUCAAUCCAGAGUAGCUAAAACCCUAGAAUCAAAUUCACUAAAUUGAUUUCAUUUCAUGAUUCGAUUAUUCUUGCUUAUCAAAUCACGAGAGAAAAAAAAAAAAAAAAAAAAGAGUACAACAAAUGAGAUCACCUGGAACUACUUGAUUUAGGAAGCCUCUACCAAAACGUCGACGAGAGUGACGGUGAUCGCAAUAGCUCCGCCGUCGUCGCAUCAUAAAAUCUCCUUCUCGAUUUGUUUGUUACUAAAGUAGACUUUACAGGAAAUACUAACAAUCUGGUUAAUUAAAUUAUUAUUACCGGUUUUGUCUAAAUUGGUUUACUUACUGCUGGUUUAGCAUUUUAAAAAAUUAGUGCUGCUGGUUCAGCUUCUUUUUACUACAAACAAACACCAAAGAGAUCUACUCUCUUUCCAAAAUUGAUUAUUUUUCCACUAAUUCACAAGCUCUCAAGCAUUAAUCAGUUUUUCUUUUUAUUUUCUUUUAACAGUUCUUGAGAUUGACUGAUAGAGAAACUUAUAACGCAAAGAGAUGUCUAAGUUUUCAAAGUUUGACAACGUCUUCUUCUCCAAUUCACAAACAAAUCAAUACCAAAUCUUAUCCUUAAGACAUUAAAGGUUACAAACUCUUUAACCAAGUCUUCUCCAACCAACCAACCAACAAACAAAAUUUAAUGCCAUUUCAUUGUAAAAGGUCACAAAUUCUUAAAAUAUAAUAGCCCAAGAAAGUUUAAUGAGAAUAUAAAGUUUCAACAACUAUAUCACUUAUUUGCACAAGAAAAUUCAAAGAGAAUAUAAUGUCUUCAUCUUAAAAGAAGUGUAUAUGGCUGCUAUUUUCUAUUUCUAUUUUUAAAUAAGUAAAAAUCUUAUAUCAGAAAUUUUAUCCAAUGCAAAAAAAAAAAAAAAAAGAACACACAUCCUAUGUCUAUUUAAACCAAUCUUCUCCAGCACUUUGCUUAAAUAUUGUUAUUCUUCAUAAAAGUUUUCAUGAAGACCAUAAUGUCGGUGCUCUUACUGUUUUCUAUCUUUGCUGCAAGCUUCACUCUUGUUGUUGGACUUGAUGGUUGUCGUCCCGACCAGAUUCAAGCCAUAACGCAAUUCAAGAACGAGUUUGAUUCCAGAGAUUGCAACCAAACUGACUACUUCAAUGGAGUAGGGUGCGAUAACACAACUGGUGUGGUCACAAAGCUACAACUCCCAAGUGGCUGCCUUCGUGGAACCUUAAAGCCCAACAGUAGCCUCUUCAGCUUGCAGCAUCUUCGUUACCUUAAUCUCUCAAAUAACAACUUCACUUCUGCUUCGCUCCCUUCUGGAUUUGGAAAUCUCAACAAAUUACAGGUCUUGUAUCUUUCCUCUAAUGGCUUUCUAGGUCAAGUUCCUUCCUCAUUUAGUAACCUUAGCCAGCUUUACAUUUUAGACCUUUCCCAUAAUGAGCUCACGGGUAGUUUCCCAUUUGUACAAAAUCUAACAAAGCUCUCGAUUUUAGAGCUUUCCUAUAAUCACUUCUCUGGAGCCAUCCCUUCUUCUCUCCUCACUUUGCCUUUCUUAUCAUCUCUUCAUCUGCGUGAAAACUAUCUCACUGGUUCUAUUGAAGUUCCUAACUCCUCUACCUCAUCUAGGCUCGAGUUCAUGUACCUUGGGAAUAACCAUUUUGAAGGACAGAUCCUAGAGCCUAUCUCAAAGCUCAUCAACCUCAAGGAGCUCGACAUUUCUUUCCUAAACACAAGCUACCCAAUUGACUUAAACCUCUUCUCCUCUCUCAAAUCUUUGGUGAGGCUUGUUCUUUCCGGUAACAGUUUAUUGGCUACUAGUAUAAGUUCAGAUUCCAAGAUCCCACUGAACUUGGAGGAUUUGGUCUUGUUGAGUUGUGGUCUCAUUGAGUUCCCAACCAUCUUAAAGAACCUUAAGAAAUUGGAGUAUAUAGACCUUUCCAACAAUAAAAUAAAAGGGAAAGUCCCUGAGUGGUUGUGGAACCUUCCUCGUCUGGGCAGAGUGAAUCUUUUAAACAAUUUGUUCACUGAUUUAGAAGGUUCGGGAGAAGUUUUACUGAAUUCAUCGGUGAGGUUUUUAGAUUUGGGUUAUAACCAUUUUAGAGGACCAUUUCCAAAACCACCACUCUCUAUCAACCUCUUAUCUGCAUGGAACAAUAGUUUCACAGGAAACAUACCUCUUGAAACCUGCAACCGAAGCUCUCUUGCUGUUCUUGACCUAUCCUACAACAACUUAACUGGUCCAAUUCCUCGUUGUUUGAGUAAUUUCCAAGAGUCUCUCAUUGUAGUGAACCUCCGGAAGAACAACUUGGAAGGAAGUCUUCCAGAUAUAUUCUCUGAUGGUGCCUUGCUUCGGACACUUGACGUUGGCUACAAUCAACUAACCGGGAAGCUUCCAAGGUCUCUUCUGAAUUGCUCUAUGCUAAGGUUUGUAAGCGUAGACCACAACAGAAUCAAAGACACAUUUCCUUUCUGGCUUAAGGCUUUACCUGAUUUACAAGCUCUUACCCUCCGUUCAAACAAAUUCCAUGGCCCUAUAUCUCCUCCUGAUCGAGGUCCUCUUGCGUUUCCCAAGCUGCGCAUACUUGAAAUAGCAGAUAACAACCUUAUAGGAAGCUUGCCACCAAAUUACUUUGUGAAUUGGGAAGCAUCAUCACUCCACAUGAAUGAAGAUGGGAGAAUCUAUAUGGGUGACUACAACAAUCCUUACUAUAUAUAUGAAGAUACAGUGGAUUUGCAAUACAAAGGUCUAUUCAUGGAGCAAGGAAAGGUCCUUACUUCCUAUGCCACCAUUGAUUUUUCUGGGAACAAACUUGAAGGACAGAUUCCCGAAUCCAUUGGUCAUUUGAAGGCAUUGAUUGCACUCAACUUAUCAAACAACGCAUUCACAGGCCAUAUUCCUCCAUCUUUGGCAAACGUGACAGAGCUGGAGUCACUAGACCUCUCAAGAAACCAACUGUCCGGGAAUAUUCCUAAAGGACUCGGGAGCCUCUCGUUUUUGGCGUACAUAAGUGUGGCCCACAACCAACUCACAGGUGAAAUACCACAAGGGACACAAAUCACUGGGCAAUCUAAAUCCUCCUUUGAAGGGAAUGCAGGGCUUUGUGGUCUUCCUUUGGAGGAGACUUGCUUUGGGAGUAAUGCGCCACCAACACAACAGCCUAAGGAAGAAGACGAAGAAGAGGAACAAGUGUUAAACUGGAAAGCAAUGCUUAUAGGGUAUGGGCCUGGACUGCUGUUCGGGUUGGUAAUAGCACACGUUAUUGCUUCAUACAAGCCGAAGUGGUCGGAGAAGCGCAAGGAAGUCAAUCCAGUUAGAUUGUUUAUGACUUUGGAUUCAAGAUGGGAUAGUUUUAAUAAUAAAAAUAACGUAGAACAAAAAAGUGAUAUGUAAAUGUAGUAUGUGGAUAUAUUGUUACCUGAUGUAAGAAAGAGGUUUUACUAGUUAGUUUCUGUAACUUUUGGUUCCCUUAAAUAAGAUCUCUGUUUGGCUGAUAAUGUCCUGAUGUAUGUCUUGAUAUAUUGGUUGAGAAAGAGGCUUAUGAUAUACUGUUUUGGUUCUUCUCUAAUUCUUGAACUAACUCGAGCUGAAAUUUCUUUAUAACGCACGACGUCAUCUUCCAGCAUCCUGUGAAGACAAACUGGAUCAAAUAAACAUAAGAGAGUCAGAGUAAGAGAGUCUCCAGAAUUCAAUCUCAGACCAUACAUUCAUGAGAUCCCUCAUUCCAGUGCAAAUGGCACCACCCACCACUGAUACUAAUCAGUUUAAUGUGAAUAAGAAAAAAAAUUGUAUCAUUAUAGGACUUACCAAAUACAAAUUUACAAUAAUCUGCUUAACAGUUUUAACUAAUUUUCUCAGAUAACAAUGUGUGGAGAUGAGAACUUGUUUCUCAAGCAAAUGAAGAUCAAAAGCAACUCAAGGCUUAACUCUAGUCAAGUUAAAGUUGGGUUGGGAUACUUUUGGGACCACAAAGGGGAGCCUCUCCGUUUUGUCAGUUUGUUCUCAAAAGGGUUGCGGUUUGUUUUAGCACAAGGAAGCCCUAGUUAGCUGUCUCUAUAUAUAGGUGCUUAUCUUCAUUGAGAGAAGCUAAGGGAGAAGGGAGUAGAGAGAGAGAGCAAUAGCACAAUGUAGAUCUAAGAAGAAGAGUUAGUAAGGUAUAGAGAUGAGAGAAAACAUGUAUUAGUAUAAGCUUGUCAUUGUUGUUCUCUGAGUUAUACAGGAAGUGGUACAGAGUGAGUCUAAGUACUAGUGAAGGGUAUUAGACGGGUCACUUGUUGCUUCUUGUUUGUAAUACCUUCUUCUUCAUAGUGAAGUUGUGGAUCUAUCGAUCCUAACCGGACGUAGCGGCUCGUUAAUGCCGUGAACCGGGUUAACAAAUCCUUUGUGUGCUCCUCUUCUUCCUUCAUCUUGCUCUAUUUUAUCUUCCUCCUCUUCUCGAUACUUUACUUGAUUUGUUUCCGUAAUAUGGUGUUGAUGACAAAUGAGAUAAAGCUUGAGCCUUUGAGAGGCUAAAAACCUCUACACAAUGAAAUAUCAUGAGAACUCUAUCAAUUAUAACUGAAACUAAUCCUUACAGAUCAAACUCCAAUCUCAUGGAUUGGUUAAAAGGUUACAAACCAAGUUCUUCAUUAUAAAGCACUAAGACUACCAAAUUAAUGCCGUUUAUUUUAUGUUACGGCCACAUUAACCCCUAAACCCUAGAAUCAAGCUCACUAAAUUGAUUUCGUUUCAUGACUCGGUCAAAACUAAUUUGACCCUUGAGAUUUUUUUUGGUGUUCUUAACUAAAGCAGCGUUUGAAUAAAACAAGGAGAAUUAAUUAGCAAACCCCAAAAAAAAGAAAGAGCAAUUAUUCUUGCUCGUGAAAUCACGAGAAAAUAUGCGAAAAUGAAAUCACCUGAAGCUCCUUGAUUUCGGAUUCCUCCACCAAAACUUCGACGAGAGUGACGGUGAUCGCAAUGGCUCCGCCGUUGUCAAGUCAAAAUCUCUUUCUCGACUUGUUUAAACUAUGCAUACCGGUUUAAUAUAAAUCGAAAUGCAGUCUUGGUCUAAACUGGUUUACUUACUGCUGGUUUAGUUUAAUGAUGGGUCUAAUUUUUUGACAUAUAUUUGGAUGACAAGGUGUGAUUCAUAACCCAUCCCUACUACGCCGGGUAACGCGACUUAAUGGAAUCGAACUCCGGUGGGAAGGCGGAGUCAAAUGGACUUAACCACUUGAUUAAAGGCACAUCAAUGAUGAGUCUAAUUGUAAACCUGUUUUUUCAAAAUUUCCAACACAUUCAUCGUUGUUCAAUUAAUUAUAAGCUAUGACUUAUUUCAUCUGACGAUUUCUUUGGAGAAAAUAAGCAAUUUAUUAAUAAACACACGAAACAUCAAACAUGAACCAAACAUACAGAAAAAAAAAACAAAAAAAAAACGGACAAGCUGAUGAAGGAUCAUAUGGUAUCACAUAUUCACGGCCCUCCCUUGUUUUAUUUUAUUUGGUAUCACUGAAAAGAUGAUAAAGACCCUCCCUUAUUGCAUCACACACACACACAUAUUGACAAACACGCAUCAUCUACGAACAGCGUCUAUGCAGAGUCAACUCCAUAAAAGAAGAGAUCACCAAACCGAUCAUUAGUUUGAGCUUUCCCACCAAGCAUCACCAGUCCUUUCUUACCAUCAAUGGUCCCAGUCGUGGACGCAGACCAUCCUCUGAUACUUGGAGUCUCUUCCUCUUCACCAAACUUAUCCAGCUUCUCCCACUUCAACGUCUCUGUAUCAAACGCAAAAGUCCCACCACUCAAUUGACCCGGACCCUCGUGAGCUUUUGGGUCCAUCGCUAUCUCACCUCCAAAGAUCAAAAGGUAUUUCCCAACAACCGCACUAGCGAACACACUCCUCGCACAAGGCUUCUCACCGAACGUUUCCACUUGUGUCCACUUGUCUUGAACAGGAUCGUAGCAAUGAACAUCAUCAACUUCACAUCCGUUGAAUCCAUACACAACCCAUACCUUCCCUUGUACCACUUCGAGCCCGGCUCCUCCUCUUAUGCUAAAGGAACCUCCCGGGGUCGAACACUGAACCCACUUGUGAUCAACGAUGUUGUAAGCGUCUAGUGUCUUGAGCCGAACCGUAGCGCUCACUCCACCGAAAACGUAAACGUUUUUCUCAUCGGCUGCCAUCGAGUGGAAGCUACGAGGAGUGGGUCCUUGUUCGACCGGAGUUAGCAGUUUCCACUCGUUCUUGAUCGUAUCAAACGAGUAGAAGCCGUUGUAUUUUCGUGAAGCGUCUCGGCCUCCAAAGACAUAGAGGCUUGAUCCAAUUGACACCAUACGGACGCCUAAGCAAGAGAGGUUUGGAACGUCUCCGGUGGCUGGAGAAAUGGACCAAGUCCGGGUCUCGAGGUCGAAGACAUAAAGGUGUUUGUCGAUGGGCUGAUUUGGUGUGAGCUCACCACCAAAGGAGUAAAUCUUGUUUCCUACUUGUGCUAUGUCAUGUGAGCAUCUUGGCCCUGGACCCUCUCCUUUUUGCUCCACCUUAUAAAUAAAUCAUAUUUGUUAGUUAGAGAUUUGGAUUCUGAUUAGUAACAUGCAUGCAUAAUAGUGGAAUUAUUCUGCGAUUCUUGCAGAUUAGUGAAAAUUUUAAAAGUAAAACCGUCAUUAAUAUAUAUGGAUUUCCAAUAAAGACAAGUGUUUUGUUUUCUCUUAUUAUGAUUUUUUUUUUUCCAUUUUUAUUGACUUUAUCAAUCAAAAACCUUAAUUGUGUUGUAUGGGUUAAAAAUCAUUUUUUAUGUUGGUCUAAGAUACUACUAAUACCUUUAUCCACUUUCCACGCAAUUUUGGAGUGGACGGCAAAGAAAUAUAGGCUCCAAGUGAGUGCAAAACAUCAGUGGAACGUCCGUGAAACCCAACGAUUUUGCCACCUUGGAGGACAAACUUGGUCCCGGAGACAAUUCCAAACGGCGGAGAAGUUUUGCCUUUAUAAGUCUUGAACGUAAGAGUUGAGAUGAUCUCUUUUGUUGAGACCCCAAAAACUUUCUCAUGAUAACCUUCCACGUAUACUAUGUAGUCAUCUGCAUCAACCUCAAACUACAAAGAGAAUUCUCAAUGAGAAAACCAAUAAAUUAACAAUCUCAACAUGCAUAAAUAUAUCUAUAUUAGUACCUCCUCAGCUCCUAGCAAAGUCUUCUUCCCACGUUCAUCGCCAACAACCACUUGAGAACCAUUGACAUACUCAAACUUGACGAAGGCGAUACCAUCUUCGCCUUGCCCUACGUAUACUUUUCUAACACCGUCGUAAGAACCAUCAUCCCAUACAUCUCCUAUCUCACCACCCUUUGCUUCCACCUUUUGUGCCAUCUCUUUUGCUUGCGAGUGAUCAAAUCUUACCAAUAUUGCCUGUUACUACGAAUAUAAUCAAAUCUUAUACAAACUACAAUCAUAUAAGAAAGAGGGAGAGAUAUGUGGGGAGAGCUGACCUGAGGCUGAGAAGAAACUAACGAUUGUUACAUACUUACAUGAUCCUUUUGGAAAAAUUGCAUGGGUAUUUAUUGACCCAUGGAAGAUACACGGUCACCGUUUCAGAUUUGUCAUGUUGUUUUGGCCCAGGGAAAACAAUAGAAAAUAAUGUAAUUAAAUUAUAAAGUUCUAUAUAUUAUAAUCAAUUAGUUAAAAUUAUCAUUUUAAAAAUGCAUAAAGCAUAUUUUUAUAACUGGAACCAAUAUAUUUUGAAAGAAAAUCAUAUUAAAUAGAGAGGAAAAUUUGUAAGAAAAAACGCACAAUAUAAUUUUAUUUUCCAUAUGGAAUAAAAAAAUCACUAAUAAAUGUCCCAAACAAAUAAAAUUAGUAUUCAAACAUAAAAUCUGGAAACUGUGGCAACUGGCCCCUUUAUCACUCAUGUAGAGACGCGAGGCAUAUCAAAAUAUCAAGUGUUGCCGAUAUAUAUGAAUGAUGAAUUGAUGAUGACUCCAUGGGUAUAUAAUGCUAAUUGUUGCCGAUAAGAAUUAAGAAUAAUGUGUACACGUCGACGUAUUUGGUCUUAGAUGUCUAUCAGGUAGUUCAUGUUUUUUGUAAUAAAGAAUCAUAUAUCAAACACUUAGCAGAAUAUGCAAAACUUCAGACAUGCUAAUUAAACCCUAAUUAAAAUAUCAAUCCGAGUUACUAAAAUCCAUCUCAAUAGAUUGAUUUCAUAAUUUUCAUUUCAUGAUUUUGUCAAAACUAAUUGAUCUUGAGUUGGUGUUCUUAACUAUAUCGUUUAUAUUGAUUUUUUAGUGCUCAACUGAUAGGGAAACUGGUAACGCAAACAGAUGUCUCUGUUUUUUAAUUUUGACGUAAGUCUUCUCAAAUCUACUAACAAACACCAGAUCUUAUCCGUAAGGCAUUAAAGAUUACCAGCUAUUUAAUCAAAUCUUCUCCAACCCACAAACAAAAUUUAAUGCCAUGUCAUUGUAAUAGUACAAAAAAAAUUCAAAGAGAAAUUAAAGUUUCACCAAACUAUCUUUUUGUUGUUGUUGUUGUUGUUGUUUUAAUUACAGUUUAUAAGCAAUGGAGGAUCUAAGAACAGAUUAUCAAAUCUUUUUAUACAUCUCUUUUUGGUUUAAUAAUUUCAUCAAACUUUUGAAUCACAACCAUGUUCCCAUCAUCUCUGCUUUUGCGGGUUCUCUCUAUAUUCUUACACUUAGCUUCGAGCUUCUUAAUGAUCAAUGCUCUUGGCUGUCGUCCCGACCAGAUUAUGCAUUUUAAGAACGAGUUUGAUUCCCGCAGUUGCAAUUAAACUGACUACUUCAAUGGAGUCCGGUGCGAUAACACGACGGGUGCUGUCACCAAGCUACAACUACCAAAUGGCUGUCUCAGUGGCAUUCUCAAGCCCAACAGUAGCCUCUUCGGGUUGCAUCAGCUCCGUCACCUUAAUCUCUCAAACAACAACUUCAUCUCCUCUUCACUUCCUUCCGAGUUUGGUAUUCUCAACAGAUUAGAGGUCUUAUCUCUUUCCUCUAACGGCUUCAUCGGCCAAGUUCCUUCUUCACUUAGUAAUCUAAGUCGGCUUUACUUGUUAGACCUUUCCCACAACCAGCUCACUGGUAGUUUCCCACUUGUGCAAAACCUAACCGAGCUAUCCAUUUUAUCGCUUUCUGAUAAUCACACUUCUCUGGGACACUGAGUCCUAACAGUAGCCUCUUUGAGUUGCACCACCUCCGUUACCUUGAUCUCGCUUACAACAACUUCACUUCCGCUUCUUCACUCUCUUCUCGUUUCGGCAGUCUCAACAGAUUAGAGUUCUUGUCUCUUUCCUCUAACGGCUUCAUCGGCCAAAUUCCUUCCUCAUUUAGUAACCUAACCUGGUUAAACCAGUUGGAUCUCUCACAUAACAAGCUCACUGGUAGUUUCCACCUUGUCCAAAAUCUCACCAAGCUUUUCUUUUUGAACCUUUCCUAUAAUCACUUUUCUGGAACCAUCCCUUCUCUGCUCACCAUGCCUUUCUUGUCAAAUCUUGAUCUCAGUAGAAAUUUUCUCACUGGUCCUAUUGAAGUUCCCAACUCCUCUUCAUCUAGGCUCGAACAUCUAUACAUUGGGAAUAACCAAUUUGAAGGACAGAUUCUAGAGCCUAUCUCAAAGCUCAUCACUCUCAAAUAUCUAGACAUUUCUUUUCUAAACAUAAGCUACCCAAUUGACUUAAGGCUCUUGUUCACUCUCAAAUCUUUGUUGAUACUUGAUAUUUCCGGUAAUAGUUUAUUGGAAACUAGUAUACAUUCAGAUUUAGACAUCCCAUUGAACUUGAAAAAACUGGACUUGUCCGGUUGUGGCAUUAAUCAGUUCCCAACCUUCUUAAAGAACCUUAAGAAAUUGGAGUAUAUAGACCUUUCCAACAAUAAAAUAAAAGGGAAAGUCCCUGAGUGGUUGUGGAACCUUCCUCGUCUGGGCAGAGUGAAUCUUUUAAACAAUUUGUUCACUGAUUUAGAAGGUUCGGGAGAAGUUUUACUGAAUUCAUCGGUGAGGUUUUUAGAUUUGGGUUAUAACCAUUUUAGAGGACCAUUUCCAAAACCACCACUCUCUAUCAACCUCUUAUCUGCAUGGAACAAUAGUUUCACAGGAAACAUACCUCUUGAAACCUGCAACCGAAGCUCUCUUGCUGUUCUUGACCUAUCCUACAACAACUUAACUGGUCCAAUUCCUCGUUGUUUGAGUAAUUUCCAAGAGUCUCUCAUUGUAGUGAACCUCCGGAAGAACAACUUGGAAGGAAGUCUUCCAGAUAUAUUCUCUGAUGGUGCCUUGCUUCGGACACUUGACGUUGGCUACAAUCAACUAACCGGGAAG
rnacentral:lncRNA from 1 species